CUUCUAAUAAGAUUGGAAGAAUACCACUUGGGUACUUGCAUAUAACUCCUACUACCUACAUACUCCACUCCUUACAAGCUAACAAUGCCUUUAUUAUUAUUAUUAUUAAUGUGUGCCUGUAGUCCCAGCUACUUNNNNNNNNNNAGCCGAGGUGGGCGGAUCACUUGAGCCCAGGAGUUUGAGAUCAGCCUGGAAAACAUGGUGAAACUCCAUCUCUACUAAAAAUACAAAAAAGUUAGCUGGGUGUGGUGGCACACACCUAUAGUCCCAGCUACUUGGGAGGCUGAGGCAGGAGGAUAACCUGAGCCCAGGAGGUCAAGGCUGCCACUGCACUCCAGCCAGGGUGAUAAGAGUGAGACCAAUAAAAAAAUUGGUCUCACUUUACGCUAAACCUGCGGAUUCUAAAUGCUGAAGGUUAGAGAGGCGAGGCAUGUACACUUGAAAAGUUAAAUGACAACAAAUGAUAAAAUAUCAAGAUGUAACAAGACAUCUAAAAAAAAAUUGUCUCGAAAAAUAAAAAAUAAAAAAUUCUUGAAUCAUUAAAAAAAUCCAAUAACAAUUUGAAGGUUUAAAUAGUUAAAAAAAUAAGAAAUAAAAUGAGUGUAGACAAACGAAGACCAAGGAGUCCACAGAUUUCUUUGACUUUUUAUUUUAUUUUAUUUAUUUAUUUAUUUAUUUGAGAUGGAGUCUCACUCUGUUGCUUAGGCUGGAGUGCAGUGGCAUCAUCUUGGCUCACUGCAACCUCUUCCUUCUGGGUUCAAGCAAGUCCCUGCUUCAGCUUCCCAAGUAGUGGGAUUAUAAGUGCUCACCACCAUGCCUGGCUAAUUUUUGUAUUUUUAGUAGAGACGGGGUUUCACCAUCUUGGCCAGGC
rnacentral:lncRNA from 1 species